GUAGGUGGAAGAAGGAGAGGACCAAGGUGCAUCGUGGAUACUGGCAGCUCUGUAUUGGAGCUUCUGGAGACUUCUGCCAUGGAUCACGAUGAACAGUGCAUUGCAGUCGUCCAGCAUUGAGGACAUAAAGGCGUGGACAAGCUCAUCCGCACCAGAACAGUUACUACAUCACCGAGGCACCUGGACACCCACAUCAAGGACUGUCAUCCCUGCCUACCUUCAAACCUCAGAGGAGAGGAGGGAAGGAUGGAGAGGAGGAUGACGGGAUGGAGAAAGGGUUCAGAGCGAGGGCAAGUUGAAAUAACACACACCUGCAUACAAAGAAACGCCUGCAUGUACACCGACAGACGAACGAACAGACACACACGCAGACGCACAGAGCCAAAGCACGACAUGCAUUUGUCGUGGCAACAGCCAGACAAGGUCUAGCCUCUCUAAAGGUCACCAGACAGUUAAUUCAGCCCCUUUUUCUUCUGUAAGUCCCCUCUCUGUUUCUCUCCCUCCCUCUCUCUCUUCUGAUCUCUCAGCUCUAAUAGAUUCCUCCCUCGCUUGUUUACCUGACUGCUGUCUUGUUUCAUUUCCCUCGCUGUUAAUCUUGUUCCCUCUGUCCCUCUUUCUUUUGACCUCAUAUGUCAUCUCCUCUUAGACUUGCUCAUCUCUUGUUCACCGACAUACACUCCUCCAGGUGUCUCUCUCACUCUCUCCCUCCUUCUCUUUACCCCCCCCCCCCCCCUCUUUUUUUAAAGGCCAUCUCUGCCCUCUGGCGCACAUCCAUCUGAGAGGAGGCAGAGGGGAAUGAGGACUGGUUCUGUCCCUCAACAGCAAGCAUCUGUUUCACUCUGGUGCCACCUAGUUGACCAGACUAAAACUGCAGCAGACUAUGCUCUCUCUGACACACACAAACACAUGCAAAUGCAAGCACUUAUUCAAAACAACAGCUGACUCGUAGAGUGGUUAGAAGGUGCAGUGGAAAUAUGUAGAAAAUCCUGUUUGAGAAGGAAGAGAAUAGGAGAGUUUGGUGAGUGAUUAGGGGGUGAGUAGAUAGACUGUAGUAGGCCAUGGGCCACCCACCAAUAAAUGCUUCAGAAAAGGUAUUGCAAAGUUUCAACAUCAUUACGUAGAUACUUUAAUGAAUAUGAACACUGUGUGGGUUAAAAAUUUUACAAGUUGCAGAUGAAUUAAAUGUUAUAAAUCAAAAGGUAACAUUUCUAAAUCAUAGCGCAAGAAGCUGUUGAAAGGUGCUAAAAGCAUUUUUUUUUCUCAGAUGCCAGAAGAGCGGAUUAUGUAGCUUUCUGGACCUUGAAUGUUUUGAGAGCUGUUGUUAGCUAGCAAAUUGCUGUCUUUAGUUUGGAUAGCAGGCAAACACAAAUGGUGGCCCUUGUAGGCUAAAUAUAUCUGGCAAAAUGUCUUAUGUUAAAUGAGAAAACCACUCCAUGGUUAAAACACAUUACCUUCAGGGUUAAUCUGGAUCAGUGAAGGACUGGUAACGUGCUGCUUGAAUUUAUGCAAGGACGAACAUGAAUAGUUACUCGUGUGACUAGUGUGUAAGUACAGUGGUAUUUUUGUUGUGUCUUUCCAAUAUUUAACUCUUUUUUUCUUAUUUUUAAAACAUGUUUUUGAUUAUUAUUAUGGUAAUUGUAUUUCAUGUACUUGUCUAUAACUGUUCUGUACUUUGUCAUGUAUUUGUUCGUUUUAUGUGGACCCCAGGAAGAGUAGCUGCUGUGACUCUAGUAAACUAAACUCAAACCCACAA